AUGUGCGGUCGAAACACUGACUGGAAGCACGGGUAGUUAACGUUGCCAAAUGUUUUAAAAUUUUACAUGAAACGCAAUAACAGGGAUAUCAGUCGGCUAUAAAUUGUCACUAGCAUAUCGUAUACGCCUACUAGCAAAAUACAUUCAUCUCAGAUACUGACUUUAUAGGGGUCACAAUGAUUGGCACUCUUAAAGAUUGUUAAAAAUAAAAUCUAACAGAGUGAAAUUUACUCCAGCAUGUAUAUAAGACAUUAAGCUGAGCUCAGGCCUAAGGAACUGUGUUGUCCUCUACCAUGGCUUGCUGUUUCACUGGAGUAUAAAACUGAGGCAACACGCUUAUGAAAUCCGUUUUUCAUCAAAAGCAACAAACUCACAAAUGAAGAAAAAAAAUGGUGGUUGACCUUCAAAAAUAAGGAAAUGGGUCAAAAACUAAACAAAGAAAUAUACGACUUACUACUGUGAGACCAGAUAUGAAUAAUUUCAAAACCCCUGGAGUAGUGUUAAACCUGCCCAGUAGAUGGCGCUAGUGAUCUUAGCCAAUGCACAGUGAGGUAGAUGGGUCAGGGAGCAAAGAAAUAUCCAGUGGCCACAGUUGGAGAAUUACAGAACUUGGUUGCAUCGGGGGGUCACCAAGUUUCUAUUAAUUGCUACAUUAGAUGCUCCAAAAUUAUAUGCUACCUCCAUGCCAAAAGGCUAUAUGGAAUGGCUUCAGGAAAAUGGUUUUACUGGGAGUAAUUGACAGUUUCAAGAAUCUAAAUAGUCUCCUUUGUCUCAUCUACUGUGGUCCUGAGAGAUGACAUUAGAGCUCUUUGGCCAAGCAUAGCUGUUAUUUCAUUUGUGGCCUUUCUGUUAGCUUGAACUAGUCUGCCCAUCCUCCUCUGACCUCUCAUUAACAAGGUGUUUUUUGUUUAUCACACCAUUCUCUGUACUGUAUGAAAAUCCCAGGAGGGCAGCUGUUUCUGUGAUGCUCGAAUCACCACAUCUGGCACAAUCAAAGUCGCUUAGAUCACACAUCUUGCCCAUUCUAAUAGGCUAAUCUGGGUUGGAAGCCACUUGUGGUCCAGUCUGGUCUGAUGUGUUCCCGUCUCCUUAGAUAGGGGGCACUGUUUUCUACAAUGAGCCUCUCAGAGGAUCCAGAGGCCAAAGGAGGAACCCUCAGCACUGAGAGGAAGAGGGUUAAAGUAGAAAGAGCAGGGUCACCUGUACCCAGCUGUCUGUCUAUGAAGAGUGAAGAGUCAAUGGAUCAGCCAAUCAAGUUCAGAGGAGAGUUCACAGAUCAUC